UGGGGAAUAUUGGACAAUGGGCGCAAGCCUGAUCCAGCCAUGCCGCGUGAGUGAUGAAGGCCCUAGGGUUGUAAAGCUCUUUCAACGGUGAAGAUAAUGACGGUAACCGUAGAAGAAGCCCCGGCUAACUUCGUGCCAGCAGCCGCGGUAAUACGAAGGGGGCUAGCGUUGUUCGGAUUUACUGGGCGUAAAGCGCACGUAGGCGGAUCGUUAAGUGAGGGGUGAAAUCCCAGGGCUCAACCCUGGAACUGCCUUUCAUACUGGCGAUCUGGAGUUCGAGAGAGGUGAGUGGAAUUCCGAGUGUAGAGGUGAAAUUCGUAGAUAUUUGGAGGAACACCAGUGGCGAAGGCGGCUCACUGGCUCGAUACUGACGCUGAGGUGCGAAAGUGUGGGGAGCAAACAGGAUUAGAUACCCUGGUAGUCCACACCGUAAACGAUGAAUGCCAGUCGUCGGGUAGCAUGCUAUUCGGUGACACACCUAACGGAUUAAGCAUUCCGCCUGGGGAGUACGGUCGCAAGAUU
rnacentral:rRNA from 1 species